rnacentral:rRNA from 1 species
GACGAACGCUGGCGGCGUGCCUAAUACAUGCAAGUCGAGCGAGCGGAACCAACAGAUUUACUUCGGUAAUGACGUUGGGAAAGCGAGCGGCGGAUGGGUGAGUAACACGUGGGGAACCUGCCCCUAAGUCUGGGAUACCAUUUGGAAACUGGUGCUAAUACCGGAUAGGAGCUCCUGCUGCAUGGUGGGGGUUGGAAAGUUUCGGCGGUUGGGGAUGGACUCGCGGCUUAUCAGCUUGUUGGUGGGGUAGUGGCUUACCAAGGCUUUGACGGGUAGCCGGCCUGAGAGGGUGACCGGCCACAUUGGGACUGAGAUACGGCCCAG